UACGGAGGGUGCAAGCGUUAUUCGGAAUUACUGGGCGUAAAGCGCACGCAGGUGGCUGAGUCAGUCGGUUGUGAAAGCCCUGGGCUUAACCUGGGAAUUGCAGUCGAUACUACUCAGCUAGAGUAUGGGAGAGGGUAGUGGAAUUCCCGGUGUAGCGGUGAAAUGCGUAGAUAUCGGGAGGAACAUCAGUGGCGAAGGCGGCUACCUGGCCCAAUACUGACACUCAGGUGCGACAGCGUGGGGAGCAAACAGG
rnacentral:rRNA from 1 species